rnacentral:misc_RNA from 1 species
UAGACCUUCACCCGAUCAUUUUUCAUUAAGUGAUUGUUUUUGGUGCUUUGGACGUUCUGCCAUUAACCCUGGCUCGUCUUAAAUGUCUUAGUGGAACGAUGGCAUGAUAAGUCAUUUGCCUGACCCUUCCACUCUAAAUCUAUAUUUUAAG